CUUAAUUUUUGGCUCCUUACGGC
rnacentral:siRNA from 1 species